rnacentral:rRNA from 1 species
GAUACGGCCCAGACUCCUACGGGAGGCAGCAGUGGGGAAUAUUGCACAAUGGGCGGAAGCCUGAUGCAGCAACGCCGCGUGCGGGAUGACGGCCUUCGGGUUGUAAACCGCUUUCGCCUGUGACGAAGCGUGAGUGACGGUAAUGGGUAAAGAAGCACCGGCUAACUACGUGCCAGCAGCCGCGGUGAUACGUAGGGUGCGAGCGUUGUCCGGAUUUAUUGGGCGUAAAGGGCUCGUAGGUGGUUGAUCGCGUCGGAAGUGUAAUCUUGGGGCUUAACCCUGAGCGUGCUUUCGAUACGGGUUGACUUGAGGAAGGUAGGGGAGAAUGGAAUUCCUGGUGGAGCGGUGGAAUGCGCAGAUAUCAGGAGGAACACCAGUGGCGAAGGCGGUUCUCUGGACCUUUCCUGACGCUGAGGAGCGAAAGCGUGGGGAGCGAACAGGCUUAGAUACCCUGGUAGUCCACGCUGUAAACGGUGGGUACUAGGUGUGGGGUCCAUUCCACGGGUUCCGUGCCGUAGCUAACGCUUUAAGUACCCCGCCUGGGGAGUACGGCCGCAAGGCUAAAACUCAAAGGAAUUGACGGGGCCCCGCACAAGCGGCGGAGCAUGCGGAUUAAUUCGAUGCAACGCGUAGAACCUUACCUGGGUUUGACAUGGAUCGGGAGUGCUCAGAGAUGGGUGUGCCUCUUUUGGGGUCGGUUCACAGGUGGUGCAUGGCUGUCGUCAGCUCGUGUCGUGAGAUGUUGGGUUAAGUCCCGCAAC